AUUGACGGUAAAUGAAUCAGGCCGAAAUUGCUUUUUGCUUGGGCCACACGAGGGCGUCCAAAUCCAUGGUUUCAAUGGAGCUUCUUCGACCGUGGAUUAUCGCAUAGACAACAUGUGGCCUUUGCUCGGGCCGAUCGGACUCCAUUAACGAAGAUCCAAAUCCACCUUGCAUCUUCUUCACCACGGAGGUAUCGUAAUCGUGAUCGAUCUCCUUCUACAAUGGCGAACCAGCAACAGGUUGAUUCAAGGCCGUGGAUUCUCGAUGUCGUCCCUUUUAUCGUUGUUAUUCUAAUUGCCGCACAUGUUCUCGCUUUGGUCUACUGGAUUUACAGAUUAGCAACGGAUAACAGGCCUCAAAGGAGGAAAGCACAUUGAAGAACAGUUUGAUUUACUUGACGGAAAAUAAGAAGGAGGUAGAUGACGGUGUGGGGCGAAUUGAUGGUUUGACACGAGAUUACACAAAUGGCUUAGGAUGAAUUGAUGGUGCGGACGGCGUUGGACGAAUCGAUGGUGACGGAUUGAGUAGAUUCAAUCGACAACAUGAUAGGGUGAGCAAAUCCGAUCGACGACGAUGGGAGAGAGAUCUAUGGUGGCUAUGGCUGAGGAAGGAGAAGAGAUGAAGAUGGAGAAUUAUGUAUUAUAAGCUCCCAUAUGAAGAUGGACUUCAUUUUUAUCAUUUUUUUAAUAUAUACUGUGAUAUAUAUGUACUUUUUUUUAACUUUUGUAAGAAAUUUGAUAUAUACUGUGGUAUAUGUAUUCCUUUAUUUAAUAUAAACAAGUAU